rnacentral:tRNA from 1 species
GCCCGGGUGGCGAAACUGGUACACGCAUACGUUUAAGGGGCGUACGCCGCAAGGCUUGUGGGUUCGACUCCCACCCCGGGCACAA